rnacentral:rRNA from 1 species
GAUGAACGCUAGCGGCAGGCCUAACACAUGCAAGUCGAGGGGCAGCACGUCUUCGGAUGGUGGCGACCGGCGCACGGGUGCGUAACGCGUAUGCAACCUACCUCUUACAGUGGGAUAGCCCAGAGAAAUUUGGAUUAAUACCGCAUAGUAUACAGAUUCAGCAUUGGGACUGUAUUAAACAUUUAUGGGUAAGAGAUGGGCAUGCGUUCUAUUAGUUAGUUGGAGUGGUAACGGCACCCCAAGACAGCGAUAGAUAGGGCCCGUCGAGAGGGGGAGUCCCCACCACUGGUACUGAGACACGGACCGAGACUCCUACGGGAGGCAGCAGUGAGGAAUAUUGGACAAUGGGCGAGAGCCUGAUCCAGCCAUGCCGCGUGCAGAAGACGGCCCUAU